GACGGAGGAUGCAAGCGUUAUCCGGAACUAUUGGGCGUAAAGCGUCCGCAGGUGGCUGUUCAAGUCUGCUGUCAAAGCGCAGAGCUUAACUCUGUACAGGCGGUGGAAACUGAAGAGCUAGAGUAUGGUAGGGGUAGAGGGAAUUCCCGGUGUAGCGGUGAAAUGCGUAGAUAUCGGGAAGAACACCAGUGGCGAAAGCGCUCUACUGGGCCAUAACUGACACUGAGGGACGAAAGCUAGGGGAGCGAAAGGG
rnacentral:rRNA from 1 species